CGAACAUAUAAAAUCGCAUCAAUCACCGUCAAGCACAAAUCUUCCCGCUUGACCGUCUCGGAAGCCCAUUACAUUGCC